CGAGGGGCGGCCGCUGUCGGUGGAACGAGUGGGAAGUUACGCCUGGUGGCGGCUGCUCGCCGCCCCCCGCGGCGGCCUGUCGCGGCAUCCCGCGCCUCCGUCGAAAAAAAAAAAAAAAAAAAAAAAAAAAGAAAGCAAGCCACCGCGGGCUAUGGGGGAGCUGCCCGGCUGCCGCCAUCUUGAGGCGGGGAGUAUGGCGCGGGUCGAGGCGGGUCGGUUGCGGCCAUCCGGCGUGGUCUCAGCCGGCCGUCUCUGGCGAGGCGUUGGGCCGCAGUGGGGCCGAUUGCUUGGGGCCCCGUCGGUCUCCCUCCAUCCGCCUCAUCUCGGUCCCGGCCUCGAGCUGUGCGCAGCCGGUGGGGCUGGGGCGGUCGUGAGUGCAGAACAGAGCGGUUGAGUCCACCCUGCCAACAACCCCGCGCCUCUGCUGCGUUGGGAUGUGUGUUUAGGGGACAGGCGAGAUGGAGAUUGAGGCCGUUUUCUGGCCGUAUACAGUUCCAGCACAUCCAGUGGGUAGUGCAGUGUUCCUUUGUAGCCCUGAUACAUCCCCACCUGCAGCUCUUUGCUAGCUUGUGAAGUGUCUUUGCAUAGCUCCUGCAGUCUAUGGCCAGCAGUGCUUGCCUGUUAGCUAUGGAAGGCACGUAGUUAAUUGAGUUCUAUGCACCCUUCCAUGUCCCUUCAUCUUACUAUUAUCUAUACACAGCUUCACAAUUGACAUUUCUCAUACCAGUCCCUAUAACUACCUCCUAUUUGCCUCACAAACCCUACAACUACUCCAUUACAGCUGUCCCUAGAGACUGAAAUUGUCCUUAAAUACUGAACAGAAGUAUUUUCAACCCAUGAAUAGCUGUACUAUGAUUUCUGAGGCCCAGUGUAACCAUCAUAGCUCUAACAAUUGCCUAGAAAAAAUUACUGGGAAAUCUGAAAAUAUGUAAAAAUCAAACCUGAAUCAACAGAGCAUUAUGUCUACAACAGAAUAAUUUUGAAUAGUAGAAUGGUGCAGUUUUACAGAUGGAACUGGAUCUUUUUAUGGGGAAACUAGUCUGAAAUGCUAUAGCAGUAAUGACACCGUUUGGCUAUUCAACCUUUGAAUCUCUGGGUGAUUGAAGUGCUUACCUUCACUUAUCUAUGACAGUAGCCUUGUCAGUCAGAAACACUGAGAUACAACCAUAAAAAGUCUAAUAAAAAUAGAUAGUGUCAUCUUAUAUAGUUCAUUUGAAGGCAAACUGUAUUUCAGUAGACAUCUCUCACCCUAUCUAUCCAGCAAAUAAAAGUUUUUUUAUUUAGGUGGUAAUGCACUGAAAGCUUGGAGGAUUUGUGCUUUCAUUGACUUCUCAAUUUCUUGUGAGCAACAUGGAGGACUGAGGGGACACUGAGUAAUUUCAGAAAAGAAAAAAAAAAAAAAAAAAAAACAUUGCUGGAAGGAUGUGACUAAUUCCAUGGUAAUGCUUUACCAACUUUCAUCCUAUCCAUGCUGGUAAAGAAAGUUUUCGUUUCGAGGAUUUUAAUACUUGAUAUUGUAUUAUCCUUUCUCUUAUGUCAGGUUGUUGCUUGCAUGCAUAUUUGCUUUGCUAGGUGAACAGGGUGACCUGUCAGUAAGUUGAAGGAUAAAAUCUCUUGGCUGUUGGUUUGUGUUCUUAAAUCAUGGAACUUUGAACUUUUUGAUUGAAAAAUCAUAUCAAACCUAGUCAGGCCUUGGCAUAAGUGUAAUAUAUAUAUAUAUAUACACAUUUGUUGCUACCCUUGAGUUAAUGUGUUUGCAGAAUUUUUAAAUCUAUAUUAACAUCUCAGUCUCUAAAUACAUCAUCACUCGCUAUGUCAGGAGGGUCAUAGCUUCUUUUGUUACUGGGAAAUUGUUGAAUCACUUCAAUGUUUUGACCCUUUCAUCUAUGAAGUUUGUUUGCAGAGCUGUCUGCAUUACUCAACUGGGGCCUAACAGAGACUGAAGUUCUGCUUCAAAACAUUGCAAAUACAUAUAUGUAGAUUUUUCUCAAAUUUCAGAAUUUGAAUUUUUGGUCUUUAUCAAAGUACACAUCUCAUCUUAAUAUUUGAAGAAAUGUCAUUUUUCCUUAGCAACAGUUACAUAUUUCUAGAUAAUCAGUAGAAACACUAAAUCACUUCAUUUGGCUACUGUAACUAAUGAUAGUAUUAAACAACCUUUCAAAUUAAAAUAUGAAAAAAUCUUUUCAUUAGAAGUAGUGCUAAAAAACUUUGUAAUUUUUAUUUAGAGCAAGAUACACUGUAUUUCUCAAAAUAAUUUUAUGGCUUUGCACACAGACAAGUGAAAAUCAAAAUAAUUAACAUUUUUCAACAGUGAAUUAAAAUAAGAUUAGACAGACAUCCCCUGUACUUUGAAAAAUCUCACUUUUUGCUUUCAGACUGAAAACUUCAACAAUUCUACAAAUAAUUGUUUCUAUAUGAAGGAAUUUAUAGUGAAAUCUCUUAGGUAGAGAAAAAUAACAGAGAAGAUGCUACUCCUAUCAUUUUUUUUUCUGAUUAUAGCUUUUAAUGACAUCACUUUUGGAUCUUCAGCAGAAUUACAUUCCUAUCCCUCCCUUCUUCUCAGAGAAGAAUUCACUGAGAGCAGCCUUGGGAAAAAGGACUUGGAUGUCUUAGUGAAUGAAAAGCUUGGUGUGAACCAGCGGUGUGUUCUCGCAGCCCAUACCAACAGCAUCCUGGGCUAGCCAUUCCUCAUAGUACCUGUGGUGGUUUUAAACUAAAAAAGCAGAGAUUUAGAUUAGCUAACAGGAGAGAAGUUUUCACUCAGAGGAUGAUGAGGCGUUGGCACAGGCUGCUCAGAGAAGCUGUGGUUGCCCCAUCCCUGGAGAUGCUCAGGGCCAAGUUGGAUGGGGCCAUGAGCAGCCUGAUCUAGUGAGUGGCAACCUUGUCUAGGGCAGGGGUUUGGAACUAGAUGGCCUUUAAUGUUCCUUCCAACCCAAGCCAUUCUGAUUCUGUGAUUCAGGGCUUUUCUGAAAUAAAGAAUACUACAGAGCUUGGCCAUUUCUAACAAGGUCAUAAUUAAUCCAUCUGGUAUUUCAUACAACAAAGUCCAUUCUUUUUUUGUUAAAUCUGCUUCAUAUUUUUUUUACAUUUCUAAAUAGUUUUCAGAUAUAUUUUGUCAUUUGUGGCAUAUCUAAGAAGUACCACAACACAUUCCUCUCAGCCGUACUGUGCAGAACAAUUAUCCAUGUAUCUUAUGAAAUAGCAUAAAGGCAAGGCAAAAUACUAAAGUAGAUAAGAGCAUUUGAACUGUUUCAGACCAAGGAUACAUCUUCCCAGUUCAUAGAAGUGCAUGCCUAAAGAAGUGCAAGAACAAGCACAUACAUGUAUUUCACUAGGUAUCUUUGCCACUCUGUGUCUCGGGGAUUUUCUAAAACCUUCAUAAUCUGUCAUUAUUGUAAUAUUCAGAGAAUUUCUUCCAAGAAUUUGUCAAGUCUCCCAUAAAACUCCUGCACUGACACCAUGUUUUAUCAAGAAGAGCUAUGCUGUAAGAAUAAAUGCUGUAUAGUAAAUGCUGUAUGAAAAAUAAAAGCCAUUUUGCAUUCUUUGAAGUCUAGUUGUUGUCUUCUGUCUUUUUUUGUUCUAGUGAAUACUCACCAUGGGGAGAAGGUGAAGAGGAUAUGUCUAGAUGUUAUAAAGAAUUAGGCAGCUUAGUACAGAAGUAUAGGCUAUGCUGUGUGGCUGCUUGUCAUGUUUCUUUGAUUACCCGUGUAAGUAGACAAGAACAUAGUUCUACUUAAGUAAAUUAGUUGUUAUUAACUGAUAAGUAAAUACUAUUAAACGCCUAUGCUUUCUUAUAGCCAUAACAAGUCCCUCACUGACUCUUGAGCAUUUCGUCUCCCUCACGAUGCCCUCCUGAUUUGGCACUCUGGAUACCUGUAGUCCAGCUAUGUGUAAUAGAAGUUCUCUGAAUGCCUGUUAAUAUAUUGGAUUUUUAUAGGUUCAGGUGGUAUUAGCUUGGUCCAUAAUCUCAGUUUCUUGUUCAUGUGAACAGUAUUUCCUUUUUAUGCUGAUUUUUCUUCUUCUAUGGAGUCCUUGCCAUUUGCUUGGGACUAAUGUCUAUGUCGGUCUGUACCAGGUAGGUGAGGAAUGGGGACUUCUUUGUCGCUUGGGGAUCGACUGCCAGUGCAGCCUGCAUGUUUGACCCUGAGGGUGAAAGCUGUUGGCCACGCUGCCUCUCUGGCCAGAAGAAUCAGUGGGUAUAUCCACGCUGUGGUUUCUCAGCAAUUUGGACACUUCUGCGAUACUGCUCUGGAAGUCCUGGGUUCUGACAAAGAUGAGUUUGUGUCUUUUCCACUGUACCCUAGCUUCCUGUCCUCUCAUCAGCAAUUGGUGAGACCACCAGUAGCUGACUGUCAGUUUGAUAUCUUGCUAAUACUCUCUCCACACAGUUUUACAACAAAUGUGCUUUCCAGGAAUCCCUCUUUUUUUUUUCCCAUAAGGCACCCUGUUGACAAUUCUGAGUCAGAAGACAUUGACAGUACUAUCAUUUUCAGGGAUAAGGAAGGUACAAGAUGGCAAGAACUGGAGGCUCACAGUGAAAAGCAAACAUAAAACUGAUGACAGCUGGCUUUAUGUGCAUGAGAAGCACUCUGAAAAGUGUCAUACACUCUACAUUUUUAGAUCUUUUGGCUGGUACCUCUGUACUUGCUACACACUAGUGGGAGGAUUUAACAGAGGUGUAGCCCUCCAGCUGUGUUUAGGCCCUAGUAUCUGUAUUAACAAUGUAAUAUGCACAUGCUUCCAGUUUUCUUGUAUUGGAAAGGUGCAUUGAAAAGGGAAGUGAAAUUUCCGUGCACCAAAACUGCACUGUGAAAAGAAUAAAAGCACAACAAGUGGGGAUAAUAAGAGAUUUGCCUUGGCCGUGCACUGCUGGUAUGAGAGAAAAUGCUAUAGCAGUCAUACCCUUAGUUUGGAAACCUGACACAUUAAUCAGUUUUUAAUGUGUGUUACAGUUUGGUUACAUUAAGUUCCUUAUGGACCAGUAUCAAGCACAGCAGUAUCAAUAAUGAUUUUUAUAAUGACAUUAAUAUAAAUCCCCACUGCAGUUUUUUGCAUCUCUUGAGUAAUAACAGUCCAGUAAACAAGGCAGUCAUCAUUCUUCACUAUAUGGUAUAACAAAUGUGAAAUCACUGUGUAGGUGUAUGUUAGACUACAUUAUAUUGUAAACAAACAAAUACAGAUUAUUUUUUGGUUGCAAGGUGAAAUUUGAGAUUAUGCUAGCCACUGAGAAUCCACUUUUCUAUGUAAAAAUGUGGCAGUGCCAGAGCCUCCUGAUUCUAAGCAGUUUUGUACAGAUAUCAGAGAAGGCAUCCAGCUGUCUGGCUUCACGUCAGGCUUUAAAAUUUCUCCCUUAUGAGCUAAAAGGCAGAAGAGUGAGGGUUGGAUGGAAUUAUCCCCUUGUUCUGUUCUGAUUAAUUCAAUCCACUGCAGAAAGUGACGAAGGAUAAAGUAAUUAAUUGUUCACCUGGAGCUGGUUAGGAAUCGUUACUUUCUUGCACUCUGGUGUCCUGUGGGAUCAGUGUAUGUACUUAUCUUUACCACACUGUGGCUGGACUUCGUAACUACUGUGAUGACCGAAUGAGCAUUGCCCUUUCUAUGAAAACAGCAACAACAAAACCAGUUAGCUGAAGUAGAAAAUAAAUGUCAUUUUGGGAAUGCAACUCACAGCAGUCUUUGUGAAAACUCUAUUACCAUCUUCACUGUGAACACAUAAUUUUUUUACAUUUUUGGGGGACUGUCCACUCUGAAGAACAUAUGCCUAGUAGAUCUUCAUUUGUAUUCAGCAUGUGGUUAUAAAUCAAAUCACCCACUUGUUUACAAAGAUUCAUAUUUUUUUGUUGAAGCCAAAUGGGAAUACUUCUUUGCUACACUGGACUAGAGUAGACCAGUAUAGGGUCUUUUGGUCUAGCCUUUGCAAACAGCAGCCUGUGUUUGUGUUUUAAUGCUUUUAAUAUAGAUUCAAAUGCUAUCAAACAGAUAGUUUUAUGAAACAAAGCAAAACAAAAAAAAACUGUGCAGUGGGAGAUAUAGUAUAUGAUCAAGGGCAGUGUGGCCUGCCUUUGACAUAAGUAUGUUCAGUUUUGCAUGGCACUCUUUUCCCCCAUUGCAGUGAGCCUAGAGAAAAACGUAUAUUCAGCCUCUCGUGUAUUUUCAUUCCUUUCUUAAUUUGUUUGCUCAGAUCUGACAAACUCAAAACCUCUUACAUACUAAAUCUCAGAAACUGUUGCAAUUCUGUGUACUUUUGCAUUUUGGUAGUAUCUUAACAUGAGAGGUGUAUCAAAAGACUCAGGAGUGUAUGGCCCCUUCUGUGUAGGCAGAAUCUUAUUUACUGGACAUUCUGUGAAGGUCUUGAGUUCAUUUUCACUGUCAUGUGACACCUCUGAUCAGCUAGAGGCACCACUGUUUUAACAACCACAAGCAUGAAGUCUUUCUGUGCCAACAAUAUCUAAUGACCUUACACAGCAAAAGACCCCUAACAGUGUGGGAGCAUCUGAGCCAUCUCAGGUGUGCAGAGAACCCUCACCAGCCUGCUAGCAACAGUACCAUUGGUAGGACCAGCCAAGAGCAUGGGGUGACAACGUAGCGGGCCCUGGACAUACUUGGGUUAGUUAAGGCAAAGGUCAGAACUCAAGGAGAAAAGUGAAUGAACAAGAAAUGUGGCUUAGGCAGCCAUUAGAAUGAAGAGUCAAUAAGACAUUUUGGAGUUGUUCUUUGGGGUCAUCUUUUUUUAUUUUUGUUUUUGCUUGCUUACCCCAAACACUGAGUUUGCUCAAAGCAUGUGAUGCAUAAAAUGCAAGACUACCCCUACUGCAAGGGCUCCUCUAUCAAAGUAUCAUUGUGGGGUUUUUUUUACAAGUUUAUACAAUUUUACUGUGUUACAAUCUGUUAAACACCCUUCCAUAUUUGCACACUUGCACAUUUUAAUAAAAAAUGUUUUCCUCUCAUGUUUUCCUGGAAUUUAAUGCAACACUUGAUGAAGAGUAUAAAGUAGAGGUUUUUUUCAAAAAUUGAGAGAUGUAAAAAAUUUAAAUGUUACUAGUUUCUGGUGGUCACUUUUUUUUUCCUUUCUAAUGAGAGUCAUCAAAAAGAUGCCUCUGAAAUAUAAAAGUUAACUUUGGACAUUUGAGUCUUGAAGAUUUUAUGGAAAGAGUAAAGAAAAAGAAUUUAUUUUUAAAAAGAUAACUUAAAGUCCUUUCAAUUCAUUAUGCUUGGGAAUUACUUGAAAUAACUAAAUUACUCAAAUAAGGAAAUAAUGUGCUUAGAAUUAAGUUUAAACAUUUGGUUACUCAUACAAGAAUUUUUUUGAGAUGAAAAUAUACAAUAUUAAUUGUAGUCUUAUUAGAAUGUAAUUUUAUUCUUCACUUAGAAGAAAUAACUGAAAAAAAAAACUCUUUUGAACUAAUGAUUGAUGAAAAUGGUUGAAAUAAUGUUGCAGAUUAUGAACUAGUGAUUGAUGCUCAUGUUAAUAUGAUUAUGAAUAAGCUAUGUACUGUUGGUAAGAGAUUUUUUACAGUAUUAGUCACGUUUCUGUUUUCUGAAGAAGUGCAGGAUGCCUGCACUUACCAAUUCAUUAUAUCAAGCACAGACAAAUGAAAAAAUAAAUCAUAACCCUAAGUGUGAUAAUUUAGUAGAUAAUUCCCAUAAAACUUUUAUAUUACUAUAUUCAUUGAGCUGUUGUUUUCUAAACAUAAACAUAAAUUUCAGAUCCUGUUCAUUCUUGCUGAGCAUUAACUGCUAUAUGCCAGCUGAGGUAUUUUCUUAAUCUGUUGUGAAUCUUAGAAAUCCUAUUGCACUUCAGAACUUGGUCUGUGUUUCAGAAGGUAUUAAAAGCAAUAUAUGUAUAAAUUGCAGUCUUACUUUUCAACACUUCUAAGAAAACCAUGAGUUGAAUUUCUGAAUUUUGUUCAAGGUUUUAGAUGAACACAUUUUAAAAUUAUCAUGGUUAAAUGCAUGUGUCAUGAAUUAGAAUUAUUUUAAGUAACUGUAGCAUGUUUUGUCUUUUAUUUUUGGCAAGAUAUAGAGGGAACUGUAAAAUCUAGAUUGUGCAUAUUGCUCAUUGCCAGCUUCAGUGUCUCUUCAAAUACAACAUUAUCAUCCAAAGGAGAAUAAAUACUGUUUUUGAAAAUAAGAGAACAGAACCAUCAAGUGCAAAGAUUUUAUCCAGAAUCACACACUGGGCCAUUAGAAGAACAAGAAAUUUGCAUCCUCGUGUUCAGAACUAUGAUUGGAAUAUCUGACUUCUGUGUCUUGGAUGCUGCUGCUGCAUCUAGCGGUUGAGUUGUACAGCAAAGGAAGGCUUUAUGGCAGUGUGCAAAGAUUAGGCAUGGGAUGUCCCAGUAUCCUCAGCCACACAUUUUGUAUGUAAAGACUGCCACACAGAAUCCUUCUAUUAUGCCAUAUAAAAUGCCAGAUCAUGACCAAAAGAGAGGUAGACAAAGCAAAAUCAGUAAAGGAGAGAUUUAUUGGAAUGACCGAAACAGUGAAGAAAUGCAGAGAGAGCAUGGGAGUGUGGCAGAGGCCUGGGAGGCCAGGGAGGAGGAGGGCUCAAGAAGCUGUAAUUUGCAAUCUGUGUGAUAAGUCUGCACUGAUCCUGACUUCACAGAACCAGCUGAGAAGCUUCUAGGGGUCAACUAAAUGCAGUCUUUCAGCCUACUCCUGGUGUUUCCCCUGCAACAUGAUCUUCUUCCAAUUACUCCUCUGUUACAUUUUAAUAUUAUGUUUAUCAUAACAGAAAACUGUUUGGCCACAGAUGUGAAAUCAGUAAUAAAACAAUUAGCAGAGGCAUGCUUUCAUUUCCUUUACAGUAUUAAAGUGAAUGGUAGUCCCAUAUUUAAGGGUAAAGGCCAUGAUUUGAUAUUAAAAUGAAAAGAGGCAAAGUAGUUAAAUUAAGCACCAGCAGUCACCAGGGAGCCUGACCUCUGCAGUGUUAGAUGGAGAUUUGUGAGCUAACUGGCAUUAUACUCGGUGGGCUCACGUCGCAGAAGAGCAUCACAACAAAACUGUAAUCAAUCCUACUAAGACUCAGAUAUGUGUAUUUUAAAGCACUAGUGUAAUUCAGCACAGUAUUAGUAUUAUUGUGUUUCAAGUGAAAAUAAAAUCACAGCUGCAGAACUAAGCCUUCAGAUCUUUUUGAUUGUACAAAUGAUUUUUUUUUUUUUUUUUAUGAAAAUUGGAAAAAUCCUUACUUAAGACUGAUCUAAAAAAUAUUUGGCUUUCCUUCCACGUUUAAAUAAAGGAAUUUAUCUUUAAACCUUUUCUAAUGCUGUUUUUUGGCCUGAAAGCACUUUUGACUUCCCUCAGGAUUGUUUGUUUAUUUGUAGCAAAGCAAGACCUAUCCCUCCCAUGUAAAAACAUAACAUUACAUUGUAUUUUAAUUGCAGUCAGAGAAUACAUCUAGUAAGAUUACUUUCAUUUCUAGAUGUCUGUAAUUGAUUCUAGAAUUAUGCUUAAAGAAUUUAUAAUGUUCUUCAACUCUGAAUGUAUAGUAUCACCUUAUCAGAAAUGUUCAUAGCACACUGCUAACUAUUACCCAGCCUUACACAACCAUUCACAAACAGGCUAAAUAUGGAAACGAGGUUCCGUUGUGAAGCAUGAUAUAAGCAGGUAACAGUAUGGUAAUAAAUUAAGCUUCUAUAUGAAUGCAGUUAACCUUGUCAAUUAAAAUUGAAACUUAGGGAACCAUCACCCUCUGCUCAUUAUGCUCAUUCUAGCUGCUACAAAAUAUCUGUUACCAACAAAGCAGGUUGGUCUUGUGUGGAGCCAGAUGUUGGACUCCAUAAUCCUUGUGGGUUUCUUCCAAUCUGGGAUAUUCUGUAUUUCUAUGGUUAGAUUUAUCCAAAUUUUUCAGGUAUGACUGUACUAAUUUUGAUCUGCUAGUAUUUGAAAAAAUACUACUAAAAUACUAUUAAAAUACUCUGAAAAAAGGAAAGUGAAUAAAACAGAGUUUUAAGAGAAUACUGCCCUAGUUUCAGAUAUUUAUCAUUAUCAUUCUGAAUAAUUUAAUGUACAAAUUUUAAAUUGACUUUUUUCAAGACAGCAGUUCUACAAAGGACACUUAGCUAUUGAACAAUAAUGAAUAAAGAGCUCCACACAUUUCCUCAUCUGCUUUUGCAAUUGUUGAAAUAAAAACAACAAAAGAGAAAGAAAAUGUUAUUUUGUGUAGCACUGGGCCUUACAACAAAGGCUUUUGGAAUUAUUAAGUUUGAUUUCCUUAACCAAAAUCUUCCUCAUUGCUGAUCACAUUUUGCUAGAUCUCUCCUCUUGAGAUUGGUCCUAAAUAAUGGAGAAGAUACUUAACAGAUGCUUAAGUAGGGCCUGUGCCUUUGUAUUAUCAGUGUUACAGAACUGGCUGAGCCAUGUCCCCCAAAGUCACCUGCUGUCAGCUGGUGACUUGUGGUACCAGCUCCAGCAUCUCCCUGGCAGAAGAAGUGGAGAGACGUGCAGAAAAAGUUCUCUUUUUUGUCUUGACUUGCUGCCCACGUUUGGAUUAAUAGCUAUAAGGAUGUUACUGUAGGGUUCUUGAUUCAAAGGGAUACAUUUAACAAGUAGCUACACAACUUCUGAAAUAGAAGAGAAAUGCAUGCUGGCUGUGUAAACUAAAUAACCAUCUAAACAAACUGAAUGUGGUAAGUCAGUGGCCUCAUAGAGUGACUUUGAUGUGUCAUCUUGUCCUUCUGACACUUUCAGUAAUUACUAGUUGGAUUGAGGUUAAAUGUAGAACAGAAGUUUCUUGUCAAAAGUGAGCAACUCUUGGAGUGUACUCAAAAACAAAAGUAAAGGUAUGUCUCCUGGGCUGAAAGGAGCCAUCUGUGGUACAGCUACUAAUCUUUUGAUGUUUCAUGAAAUCUGUUUUGGCUGGAAACUCUGCUGAAAGAAGCUGGUGCCCCUAGUUCUGAAGGAUUCAUGAGAAGAGCCAAAACUUGUUAUGAUUAAAAGAGAUGGCAAAGAUGAUCAGAAACAGUGUUCAUUGGCUGUGACAGAGCUGUUGCUCUGUAGUGUUGUUUUUCCUUUUAAAGAGGAUAGCUUUAAGAAAAAUAAUAGCAAUGCUAUGUAGUUCUCAUUGCUUCUGAUCUCAGCUGGGCCAGGCUUUGGGUAAGUGAUGUUGUAUUGCCUGUAGGUCUUACUGUCAUGAACGGGCACCUCAUAAACCCUGUCCUGUGUGGAAUGGUGCAUGUAAGUGUUCAGCAAAACAAAUAGAAGGUGUCUUACCAUGUUUCCCAAACCUAAGCAGAUGAAUGACACUCUGAAGUUGGUAUGAUCAACCCUACACCUUUGCAGUCUUGAGCGCUGGACUAACUGCUCAGAGCUGCUUUCAAGCACCAUCUGUUGUCACAUGAUUCUGCAUGCCAGAUCCUCAUAAAAAAGUCUUUCUUGGUUUUAG
ensembl:lncRNA